ACCACAUAUAUCUGUUUCCCUGGGGAGCCAGGCAGCUAGGAGUAAAACUUCACCAUAUAGCUGACAACACACAGGGAGUAAUCCCCAUCCCAAACUUCCUAAAUCCAGCAGCUUUGAUCAUCACAAUAGCUGUCUCUGGAGGCCAUGGCAAGGGCUAGGGGACACUGUUUCAGCCUUGCCAAGUGUUGUCACAGGCCAUGUGUAUCUCAUGCUGUCAACACAAAUCCAGUGCAUUACAAGACUCUUAGAAGAAGAGGGAGUGGUUGUCCUGCAUCGUGUCUCCAGCAUUUUGUGACAGCAUCUUCUGUAGCAUAUUUGGGGCUCCUUGGAGGAAAAGUGUCACAUGAAGGACCAUGUCACAUGAAGCCACCUCAGACAGGGCUUUCAGAAAGGCAGAUGUGCCACUCUUGACAAUGUCAUAUUAAUAAAUAGUCCCUUCCCUUCCUAGUCCCAAGGAAGAGCGCUUUCCUAGAUAGGAAAGCAGCUUUAUGUGUCACAAACAGAAGAUCUGAAAUUAGCUGAGGGGUUUGAAGUCUUUGCCAGCAGUGCUCAAGCAGCAUUACCUCCUGGCAGGGUGCCUGGGCCCUCUCUGUCCCUGCUGGAGAGCCACAGCUGGCAGUGGCUGUUAACCCUUGGGGCCAUUCCCCAGUCCCCCACCAGCAUGGGAAGUGAUGGGGGGCUUUGGCUCGAGAGGUGGGCCAGUGUAAACCUCCUCAAGUUCAAUAAAGCAAAGUGCAAGGUCUUG